AUUGAACGCUGGCGGCAUGCUUUACACAUGCAAGUCGAACGGUAACAGGCCGCAAGGUGCUGACGAGUGGCGAACGGGUGAGUAAUGCAUCGGAACGUGCCCAGUCGUGGGGGAUAACUACUCGAAAGAGUAGCUAAUACCGCAUACGAUCUAUGGAUGAAAGCGGGGGACCGUAAGGCCUCGCGCGAUUGGAGCGGCCGAUGUCAGAUUAGGUAGUUGGUGGGGUGAAGGCUCACCAAGCCAACGAUCUGUAGCUGGUCUGAGAGGACGACCAGCCACACUGGGACUGAGACACGGCCCAGACUCCUACGGGAGGCAGCAGUGGGGAAUUUUGGACAAUGGGCGCAAGCCUGAUCCAGCAAUGCCACGUGCAGGAAGAAGGCCUUCGGGUUGUAAACUGCUUUUGUACGGAACGAAACGGCUCUGGUUAAUACCCGGGGCUAAUGACGGUACCGUAAGAAUAAGCACCGGCUAACUACGUG
rnacentral:rRNA from 1 species